CCUACGGGAGGCAGCAGUCGAGAAUCAUUCACAAUGGGGGAAACCCUGAUGGUGCGACGCCGCGUGGGGGAAUGAAGGUCUUCGGAUUGUAAACCCCUGUCAUGUGGGAGCAAAUUAAAAAGAUAGUACCACAAGAGGAAGAGACGGCUAACUCUGUGACAGCAGCCGCGGUAAUACAGAGGUCCCAAGCGUUGUUCGGAAGCACUGGGAGUAAAGCGUGCGUAGGCGGUUGCGUAAGUCGUGUGUGAAAGGCCCGGGCUCAACCCGCGGACGGCACAUGAAACUGGGAGACUAGAGUAAUGGAGGGGGGACCGGAAUUCUCGGUGUAGCAGUGAAAUGCGUAGAGAUCGAGAGGAACACUCGUGGCGAAGGCGGGUUCCUGGACAUUAACUGACGCUGAGGCACGAAGGCCAGGGGAGCGAAAGGGAUUAGAUACCCGUGUAGUC
rnacentral:rRNA from 1 species